rnacentral:misc_RNA from 1 species
GCAAACUUGGUCAUUUAGAGGAAGUAAAAGUCGUAACAAGGUUUCCGUAGGUGAACCUGCGGAAGGAUCAUUAACGAGUGCGAACCCCUCCGUAAAAAAGGGGGGUCACCUCCCGUCCUUUGUUGGGCACCCCUUUUAAUUGGAAGGGGUUGUCUUUCAUACUUUCUGCUUCGGCGGGGUUACCUGCCGGAACAACCUCAAAAAAUUCUCAGUCAAAACUGUUCAGUCCGAGAACUUUUGAAAAGCAAAAAAAACUUUCAACAACGGAUCUCUUGGUUCUGGCAUCGAUGAAGAACGCAGC